rnacentral:rRNA from 1 species
UGGAUUAGGCAUGCAAGUCGAACGGUCCGCCGUCGAUUUUUUGGCGGACAGUGGCGAAAGGGUGCGUAACACGUGAGUAACCUACCUUCGGGUUUGGGAUAACCUGUCGAAAGACGGGCUAAUACCGGAUACGUCCUUAUGCCUUCGGGUGUAAGGGGAAAGAUGGGGACCCCUUCGGGGGCCUGUCACCCUUAGAUGGGCUCGCGGCCUAUCAGCUAGUUGGUGGGGUAAUGGCUCACCAAGGCUAAGACGGGUAGCUGGUCUGAGAGGAUGGUCAGCCACACUGGGACUGAGACACUGCCCAGACUCCUACGGGAGGCUGCAGUCGAGAAUCUUUCGCAAUGGGGGAAACCCUGACGAAGCGACGCCGCGUGCAGGACGAAGGCCUUCGGGUUGGAAUCUCC